UGGCUCAGAUUGAACGCUGGCGGCAGGCCUAACACAUGCAAGUCGAGCGGAUGAAGAGAGCUUGCUCUCUGAUUCAGCGGCGGACGGGUGAGUAAUGCCUAGGAAUCUGCCUGGUAGUGGGGGACAACGUUUCGAAAGGAACGCUAAUACCGCAUACGUCCUACGGGAGAAAGCAGGGGACCUUCGGGCCUUGCGCUAUCAGAUGAGCCUAGGUCGGAUUAGCUAGUUGGUGGGGUAAUGGCCCACCAAGGCGACGAUCCGUAACUGGUCUGAGAGGAUGAUCAGUCACACUGGAACUGAGACACGGUCCAGACUCCUACGGGAGGCAGCAGUGGGGAAUAUUGGACAAUGGGCGAAAGCCUGAUCCAGCCAUGCCGCGUGUGUGAAGAAGGUCUUCGGAUUGUAAAGCACUUUAAGUUGGGAGGAAGGGCAGUAAGU
rnacentral:rRNA from 1 species